rnacentral:rRNA from 1 species
UACGUAGGGUGCAAGCGUUGUUCGGAAUUAUUGGGCGUAAAGCGCGUGUAGGUGACUAGUUAAGUCGGGUGUGAAAUCCCUGGGCUCAACCGAGGAAGUGCACUCGAUACUGGCUGGCUAGAAGAUGGUAGAGGAAGGUGGAAUUCCAAGUGUAGAGGUGAAAUUCGUAGAUAUUUGGAGGAAUACCGGCGGCGAAGGCGGCCUUCUGGGCCAUUCUUGACACUGAGACGCGAAAGCGUGGGGAGCAAACAGG